UACGUAGGGGGCUAGCGUUGUCCGGAAUCAUUGGGCGUAAAGAGCGCGUAGGCGGCCAGAUAAGUCCGGUGUGAAAGUCACAGGCUCAACCUGUGAAUGCCGCUGGAAACUGUCUGGCUAGAGUCCGGAAGGGGCGAGUGGAAUUCCUGGUGUAGCGGUGAAAUGCGCAGAUAUCAGGAGGAACACCCGUGGCGAAGGCGGCUCUCUGGGACGGUACUGACGCUGAGACGCGAAAGCGUGGGGAGCGAACAGG
rnacentral:rRNA from 1 species